UUUGAUGUCAUUCAACAUUAUUAGUUAAUUUAUUGGAAUAAGAAACAAAUAAAUAUGGUUCAAGCCUUGCUUCCUCUUAUUAGCUAUGUUAUUAGAAAUAUAUCUCACUGACAUAAAAUUUAAUGCAUGAAAUACAUAUUAACUGUGUCUUGUUCUGCUGAUUUAUCUGCAAUACUAUUUAUUUUAAUUCAGUGAGGUCCAAAUAUUAUGAGCU
rnacentral:lncRNA from 1 species